GCCCCGAACCCGGUACUGGGCGUCCUCCUGGUCGUGGCCAGUGAAAGCCCUGAAUGAAGCUCAUGCCCAUUUAGGGAUUGAGGUCUCUGCUGGGCUUGGGAGCACACCGCUGUCUGGGUGACAGGAGCUUCCUCUGGGAGAACCACAGUGGUUCCAAGUGAUAAUAAAACCUUUCCGUUUUACUAGACUCUGAGCAGCUCCUUGCUGUCACCAGUACCCUCUGCCUCUUUGAGAUUUCUGAUUUCUGUUCCUAAAAGUGUAUUCCUCAGGAUUCUGCCCCUGCUUAUGCUACAGUCUCCCUGGUAGCGAUUCCGUCCAUUCUCAGCUUCGAGUUUAUGCAGUCGUCUGUCUGUACCUCCAGAUGAGAAGAUUCUGGAGAUGUGAUUCAUUUGGGGAUAUAUUUUGAAGAAGAAGGCAAAAGGAUUUGCUGCUGAAGACAUGGAGAUGGAGCAUAGAAAAAAGAGGAUAAUCGAUGAUGACCCUAUGGUUUGGGGCCUUUGCAACUGGAAGGAUAAAAAUUGCCAUUUUUUGAGCCUGAGAACCACUGGCCAUGGAGGCAGGAGGACAGUCAUGAAAGUGUGGUGUCUUGGAAGUAUAAUACAAUUUUUAAAGUACUUCAAGAAGAAAUGUGUUAUCAAAAUUUCACAAA